rnacentral:rRNA from 1 species
UACGUAGGUGGCAAGCGUUGUCCGGAUUUACUGGGCGUAAAGAGCGCGCAGGCGGUCGUGCAAGUCGCGUGUGAAAGCCCCCCGGCUCAACUGGGGAGGGUCACGCGAUACUGCUCGACUUGAAGGCAGGAGAGGGAAGUGGAAUUCCCGGUGUAGUGGUGAAAUGCGUAGAUAUCGGGAGGAACACCAGUGGCGAAGGCGACUUCCUGGCCUGUUCUUGACGCUGAGGCGCGAAAGCUAGGGUAGCAAACGGG